UACGUAGGGGGCUAGCGUUGUCCGGAAUCAUUGGGCGUAAAGCGCGUGUAGGCGGUCCGGUAAGUCCGCUGUGAAAGUCGAGGGCUCAACCCUUGAAUGCCGGUGGAUACUGUCGGGCUAGAGUGCGGAAGAGGCGAGUGGAAUUCCUGGUGUAGCGGUGAAAUGCGCAGAUAUCAGGAGGAACACCUAUUGCGAAGGCAGCUCGCUGGGACGUUACUGACGCUGAGACGCGAAAGCGUGGAGAGCAAACAGG
rnacentral:rRNA from 1 species